GGGCGAAUGGUCUAGGGGUAUGAUAUUCGCUUUGCAUUGUCUGGAGUAAUUCAGAAUCAUCAAUGUCUGCGAAGGGUCCGGGGUUCAAUUCCCCGUUCGUCCA